GAUGGGCGAUCCCCCGUGUAAGAGUGAGGUGGAGGAGGACAUUCCAGUCCAUGUGACCACAGGGCUUGUGGAGGAGGACCCCCAAGAUGGCACCGGUGCGUUUAGCUGUUUCCCUCCACCUGUACCUCCUGAUGCUUCCCGUGGAGAAGAUGACCCGCAGAUCUCCAGAGUGCCCACCUCGCCAGCAGGAAAUCCCAAUAACAACUCUGAGGGAACCAUGAAGUUACCACAAGUACAAAAUGGAGCUCUCAUGCCACACUCUUCAAGAAAAAAACUCAUUGCCGUGCUUGUAUAUCCAGAACGUCUCAUUACAGAUCUAGCACGUAAACCAAGUAGUCACGGAGAAUCUUCUCCUGAUCAAUCACAGAUUGAUACCACAAGUACACCACAAUCACAUCUUGGAACAUGUAAGGAAACUCAGGCAGAACUGAAGAGAUUUCCCUGUUCACACUGCGGUAAAUGUUUAAAAAAUAAAUCACAUCUUAUUGUACAUGAGAGAAUUCACACAGGAGAGAAGCCAUUUCCAUGUUCAGAAUGUGGGAAAUGUUUUACAAAUAAAUCAGAUCUUGUUAAA